GCGCCGGUGGUGUAAUGGUGAAGUACACUCCCGCUCGGUCAGCAGGAGGUGCGGGUUCGAGUCCCGUCUGGCGCC
rnacentral:tRNA from 1 species